AUUGAACGCUGGCGGCAGGCCUAACACAUGCAAGUCGAGCGAGCGGCGGACGGGUGAGUAAUGUAUGGGGAUCUGCCAGAUGGAGGGGGAUAACUACUGGAAACGGUGGCUAAUAACGAAUACUCACGGAUGAACCACUAUGGGAUUAGCUAGUAGGUGGGGUAAAGGCUCACCAAGGCGACGAUCUCUAGCUGGUAUGAGAGGAUGAUCAGCCACACUGGGACUGAGACACGGUCCAGACUCCUACGGGAGGCAGCAGUGGGGAAUAUUGCACAAGGGGCGCAAGCCUGAUGCAGCCAUGCCGCGUGUAUGAAGCAGGCCUUCGGGUUGUAAAGUACUUUCAGCGGGGAGGCGUUACCCGCAGAAGAAGCACCGGCUAACUCCGUGCCAGCCGCCGCGGUAAUUC
rnacentral:rRNA from 1 species